GCACCCGUAGCUCAGCUGGAUAGAGCGCUGCCCUCCGAAGGCAUGUGUCAAGUCCGCUGGGUGGA
rnacentral:tRNA from 1 species